rnacentral:lncRNA from 1 species
CUAGAAGGACAAAGCCUGGCCUGUGGGACUGGCUCUGCCGCUUACUGGGGCCUCGUGCAAGGCACUCAGCUUCUCAGAGCUUUGUAAUACUCCCAACCUUCCCACCUCACAAGGCCUCCGGCAGGAUGUGUCACACUUUGUAAAUGGAAAAUCUUUCGGAAUAAGGGCUCCUCAGAGGAAGCGGCAAGUAUCAUCUGAGCCCGAUGGCACAAGCACAGUCCUACCACAUAUCUAUCUCGCUGCUGCACGUCUUCACCAGCACUCAACAGGACUUUCCUCAAAAAACCGUUGGGCGAGUCCACAUAGGCUUUCUACUCUGUUCCUUUGGUUUGCAUGUCUAUCCGUUUGGAAAUCCCACACUGACUUCAUCACUGCAGCUUUGUAGGAAGUCUGGGCAUCAGUACCAACAAAAUUUCUAACAUCACAAAAUAAAAGCUUGUCUUCAACUUGCUGAAAGAGGACACCUACCACAGCAUGGCUUGCCAAACAGUGCCAUGUCUACACCUGGGAUCUGAACCAGCGAACCCCAAGCUGCUGAAGCAGAACGUGCACACCUAAUGCUGUGCCACCAGAGCUCCUGCUGAGCAGCGUUGCCUUCUUCCAGAGGAUCCAGCCUCGCCACCACCUUCAGGCAUAUGGCUGUGUGGGUCUCCCAGACGUCUCCUGUGUUGUAUGUGUGUCCUCUGUUGGUGUUUGAAUGUCCUUUUCGUUGUAUUUUAGAGGAGAGAGCCUGAGGGAAGAGCUCACUCCACCAUGAUGCUGACAUCACUCCCAGUUCUAUUUUUCCUGAGUCCAGAUAUGAGUCAACAUCAUAUUACUCUCACGUCCCAACUCUGCAAGGGAGUCCAGUCCUCCUUUGCCAGAUUUUGAUGGGAUCCACCCCUUUAUCAGCCACAGAGAUGCCGUCUCUGAUAUUCCCAUGUGAUUCUAACCUGUUAUGGUAUAGACAGACCUGUGACCUCCACUACGACUGUGGUGCCUUGCCUUUAUGCUCUCUCAGCUUUAUGGCCUCUAAAAAUAGCAG